GGAGAGAUGGCCGAGCGGCUGAAGGCAGCGGUUUGCUAAACCGCCGUACGUCUUAAAAGCGUACCGAGGGUUCGAAUCCCUCUCUCUCCGCCA
rnacentral:tRNA from 1 species